rnacentral:rRNA from 1 species
AUGGCGAAACCCUCCCAAUCCCGCCUCCUCCUCGUCUUCCCCGUCGCCGCCGUCCUCGCCGCGGCCUUCCUCCUCCCGCUCGCCCGCUCCGACGCCUCCGGGCCCAACCCCACCGCCUACGACGAGCUCCGCCUCCGCGGCUUCCCGCGCGGCCUGCUCCCGGCCAACGUUCGCGGGUACACGCUCGACGCCGGCUCGGGGGACUUCGCCGUCGACCUCGACUCCAGCUGCCGCAUCGUGCUGCCGGCGGGGAGCUACCUCGCCAACUUCAACGACCACCUCACCGGCCACCUCGACGACCGUCGCAUCUCCGGCCUCAGCGGCAUCCGCGUCAGGGCUUUCUUCCGCUGGUGGUCCAUCACCGGGAUCCGCGCCGAUGGAGACGAGCUCGUCUUCGAGGUGGGCUCCGUCUCCGCCAAGUUCCCCGCCCGCCACUUCAACGCCAGCCUCGAAUGCCCCGCCAAGGCCGACUCUUAG